rnacentral:ncRNA from 1 species
GAGGGGAUUAUGACUGAACGCCUCUAAGUCAGAAUCCCGCCUGGAAAGCGACGAUGCAUUCGUGCCUCGGCCUCGAGAGGCGUAGCUAGACGGCCCUGUGGCCGUGGAAAGAGCCCGAUUCCGACCCGAGAGGCCGCGGCAAGAGGCGGCCUCGAAGUCGGUGGAUCCUCCUGCUCGAAAGGCGGGGUGCUAAACCAUUCGCAGACGACCUAGUUGAAGAUCGGGGUGUCGUGAUCACUAGAGCAGUACAUCUCACUGCGAUUUGUUGAGAGUAAGCCUCAAGAUCUGUCGGUUUGU